GUGCUCUCUUUGGCAGCACACCCACACUCAAACUGGAACAGUACAGAGAUACGCAGAGCCCCUAUGGAAAGACGGCAUGCAAAUUUGUAAAGUGUUCCAUAUUUUU
ensembl:snRNA U6 U6 spliceosomal RNA